rnacentral:rRNA from 1 species
GUUGUAUGGUUAAGUGACUAAGCGUACACGGUGGAUGCCUUGGCAGUCAGAGGCGAUGAAAGACGUAGUAACUUGCGAUAAGCCCAGAUUAGGUAGUAACAACCAUUUGAGUCUGGGAUUUCUGAAUGGGGAAACCCACGUGCAUAAGCACGUAUCCUUACCUGAAUACAUAGGGUAAGGAGGCGAACCGGGGGAACUGAAACAUCUAAGUACCCCGAGGAAAAGAAAUCAACCGAGAUUCCGAAAGUAGCGGCGAGCGAAAUUGGACUAGCCCUUAAGCUUUACACGCGUUAGACGAACGGUCUGGAAAGUCCGACGAUACAGGGUGAUAGUCCCGUAGUUGACGACGUGUGUUCAGUGAAAUCGAGUAGGGCGGGACACGUGAUAUCCUGUCUGAAUAUGGGGGGACCAUCCUCCAAGGCUAAAUACUACUGACUGACCGAUAGUGAACCAGUACCGUGAGGGAAAGGCGAAAAGAACCCCUGUGAGGGGAGUGAAAUAGAACCUGAAACCGUGUACGUACAAGCAGUAGGAGCACCUUCGUGGUGUGACUGCGUACCUUUUGUAUAAUGGGUCAGCGACUUAUAUUCAGUGGCAAGGUUAACCAUCUAGGGGAGCCGUAGGGAAACCGAGUCUUAACUGGGCGUUCAGUCUCUGGAUAUAGACCCGAAACCAGGUGAUCUAGCCAUGGGCAGGUUGAAGGUUGAGUAACAUCAACUGGAGGACCGAACCGACUAAUGUUGAAAAAUUAGCGGAUGACUUGUGGCUAGGGGUGAAAGGCCAAUCAAACCUGGAGAUAGCUGGUUCUCCCCGAAAGCUAUUUAGGUAGCGCCUCGGACGAAUACUACUGGGGGUAGAGCACUGUUAAGGCUAGGGGGUCAUCCCGACUUACCAACCCUUUGCAAACUCCGAAUACCAGUAAGUACUAUCCGGGAGACACACGGCGGGUGCUAACGUCCGUCGUGGAGAGGGAAACAACCCAGACCGCCAGCUAAGGUCCCAAAUUACUACUAAGUGGGAAACGAUGUGGGAAGGCUCAGACAGCCAGGAUGUUGGCUUAGAAGCAGCCAUCAUUUAAAGAAAGCGUAAUAGCUCACUGGUCGAGUCGGCCUGCGCGGAAGAUGUAACGGGGCUAAGUAGUAAACCGAAGCUGCGGCAAUGUGCUUUUGCACAUUGGGUAGGGGAGCGUUCUGUAAGCGGUUGAAGGUGUGUGGUAACGCAUGCUGGACGUAUCAGAAGUGCGAAUGCUGACAUGAGUAACGAUAAAGGGGGUGAAAAACCUCCUCGCCGGAAGACCAAGGGUUCCUGUCCAACGUUAAUCGGGGCAGGGUAAGUCGACCCCUAAGGCGAGGCCGAAAGGCGUAGUCGAUGGGAAACGGGUUAAUAUUCCCGUACUUCUUACAAUUGCGAUGGGGGGACGGAGAAGGCUAGGUGGGCCUGGCGACGGUUGUCCAGGUUCAAGUGCGUAGGCUUAAGAGUUAGGUAAAUCCGGCUCUUUUUAAGGCUGAGACACGACGUCGAGCACCUACGGGUGUGAAGUCAUUGAUGCCAUGCUUCCAGGAAAAGCCUCUAAGCUUCAGAUUGUAAGGAAUCGUACCCCAAACCGACACAGGUGGUCGGGUAGAGAAUACCAAGGCGCUUGAGAGAACUCGGGUGAAGGAACUAGGCAAAAUGGUACCGUAACUUCGGGAGAAGGUACGCUCUCGACGGUGAAGUCCCUCGCGGAUGGAGCUAUUGAGAGUCGCAGAUACCAGGUGGCUGCAACUGUUUAUUAAAAACACAGCACUGUGCAAAAUCGUAAGAUGACGUAUACGGUGUGACGCCUGCCCGGUGCCGGAAGGUUAAUUGAUGGGGUUAGACUUCGGUCGAAGCUCUUGAUCGAAGCCCCGGUAAACGGCGGCCGUAACUAUAACGGUCCUAAGGUAGCGAAAUUCCUUGUCGGGUAAGUUCCGACCUGCACGAAUGGCGUAAUGAUGGCCACGCUGUCUCCACCCGAGACUCAGUGAAAUUGAAAUCGCUGUGAAGAUGCAGUGUACCCGCGGCUAGACGGAAAGACCCCGUGAACCUUUACUACAGCUUGGCACUGAACAUUGACCCUACAUGUGUAGGAUAGGUGGGAGGCUUUGAAGCACGUACGCCAGUAUGUGUGGAGCCGUCCUUGAAAUACCACCCUUGUAGUGUUGAUGUUCUAACGUCGACCCCUUAUCGGGGUUGCGGACAGUGCCUGGUGGGUAGUUUGACUGGGGCGGUCUCCUCCCAAAGAGUAACGGAGGAGCACGAAGGUGGGCUAAUCACGGUUGGACAUCGUGAGGUUAGUGCAAUGGCAUAAGCCCGCUUGACUGCGAGAAUGACAAUUCGAGCAGGUGCGAAAGCAGGUCAUAGUGAUCCGGUGGUUCUGAAUGGAAGGGCCAUCGCUCAACGGAUAAAAGGUACUCCGGGGAUAACAGGCUGAUACCGCCCAAGAGUUCAUAUCGACGGCGGUGUUUGGCACCUCGAUGUCGGCUCAUCACAUCCUGGGGCUGAAGUCGGUCCCAAGGGUAUGGCUGUUCGCCAUUUAAAGUGGUACGCGAGCUGGGUUUAGAACGUCGUGAGACAGUUCGGUCCCUAUCUGCCGUGGGCGUUGGAAGAUUGAAGGGGGCUGCUCCUAGUACGAGAGGACCGGAGUGGACGAACCUCUGGUGUUCGGGUUGUGUCGCCAGACGCAUUGCCCGGUAGCUAAGUUCGGAAUCGAUAACCGCUGAAAGCAUCUAAGCGGGAAGCGAGCCCUGAGAUGAGUCUUCCCUGAUACUUUAAGUAUCCUAAAGGGUUGUCGGAGACUACGACGUUGAUAGGUCAGGUGUGUAAGUGCUGUGAGGCAUUGAGCUAACUGAUACUAAUUGCCCGUGAGGCUUAACCAUACAACACCCAAGGGGUUU